UGUGAAGUGUUUUCACACGAAGAGACACUGCUUUACAUGUUUUCGCACACAAGGCCACCGAUUAUGCUCUUUCGCUUGGGGAUCCUUCAGUCCGUUAUCGCCUAUCAUCUUUUCUGCUUCCCGCCAACGAUGCUCGCCUCAAACGCUCUCCCCUUUCCCACUGUCUCCCAUCACCGAUUCACUACCACCGCUCCUCCUUCUCUCAUCUUUCACUCACCGAUUCCACCAUCUCAUUCUGCUUUUAACAACAGCGCGCUCGUUCUGACCCUCUCUUGUGCCAACUUCUCACAAGGACUGUCGCCCCUGGUCUACUUGCUGCAACGGACAGCCGGCUAUGCACUAGUGCUCCAAUUUAAGGUUGCACGCCCCGCAUCAGCACCCUGUUUUCCUGGAAACUGAUACUCCCAACCGCAUAUAUUUACAGGUUUGAAUCUAUGCAUAAAAUAUGCUAUGAUGACAAGCAUGUCCAAUUGAGUACCAUGGAGUUUUAACUUAACUUGGUUAGUGGUUAAUCAAACUGCUAUAAUAUGACCUCUUUAAAAAAUACGGGUUUUUAAACAUUAUACUAAUGGUGUGUGUUGGAAAGAAAAUUAAUACAUUGCAUGAAUCUAAUCAAGAGGAGAAAUGGUUGUGCACAAUGUGAUCAGAUUAUGCUGUUUAUUUGUUCGGUGGUCUAUAUCAGAACUAAAAGUUAACGAUGGCUGGAAUCAAUUUAAGGGGAGGAUUGAUUUUGCAAAUUAUGAGCAGUUCAUGAUGUUUAUUUGUUUGAGCUGGACGAGUAGAAUCUAAUUAAGAGGAGAAAAAAAAUUGUGGAGCAAAAUAUGCAUCAGUGCCCCCCCCCCCACCAUUUUUUCUCGCUCUCUUUUUGCCCUCAUAUCAUAUCCUUAUGACUCCAGCAGUAUUCACAUUUCUCCUUUUCAACUGCUUAUGGUGAGAGCUCUAAGUCUCCUUGCUUAUAAAUAUAUUGCUUAAAACUUUACAUGUAAUGUUCAUAACUAUGCAAUUUCUUAGGACUUCUCAUGCUUUGCUGUACAAUGACUGCCUGCUCUUUUACUCUAAUUCUUAUACUUUUUACUUAAAUUUGUCAAUUUGACCUUUUUGAAAUUGUUUUCUUAUCUCUGAUUUAUUCAAUCUUUUUUUAAUGAUUUUAGAAGUCAAGUUUUACCAUUUAAAUUUAGGUUAAAUCUUAGAAUCCAUAUAUUGGUAUAUUUGGUUUCUGGUUUCCAGGUCUAGUUUAAAAGAGAAUGGUUAUGAGCAAUAAUGGAAAUGCUCCAUAAGGACAUUUAUCAAUAAAAUAAAUUCACAGUUUAAAAUGGUAUUUUUACUCAUGAUUGCGUAUUAUGUUACAAUUUUGCUUUGUUCAAAGUUGGAUAGAAUGGAUACUUUUUGCUUUAGGAGAAAGAUCAUAGCACUAUGGAUAGUAAAUGAUCUCCAUCUGCAUGUUUAUUCUUAUCCUUAAAUGUUCUUAUUUUUCAAUAGCUUCUACAUAUUGUUUAGCAUUAGUUUACUUAUUGAUUAAUUUAAAGUGUAUUGCUUUGUUAAUUCUUCCACAUUCUACGGUGAUGCCACUUUUAAAAGUUAGUUUAAGCUUAUUGGUUUGCUUCUCCAUUAUUUACAGUGGAAAUAAUUUUAGUGCAUCCCUCAUCUUCUUCGUGUUAUUUUCCUUUUCUUUCAAGUAUAAUAAUUUAAGAUAUAAACCACCUUCUGGCACCUUUAUUUGCACUUUGAAGGGGAUUGUCUUGUGUGCAGGAAUGCGAGAGAUAGAUCUUAUUUAAUCGUUUUUCUUGUAAUUACUAAGGCAAGGUAUCAUCUAUAAUAAAGAAAGAUGACUUCAGAUUUCAACACCAUAUCGCACCAGAAAGGUCUGUUUGCUGAGUUGGAAUUGUUCAUAAUUUUUGUGAGGUGAACAACAUCGUGGACGCACUCGCUAAGCAAGGAACGAGCAGGAAAACUGAGUUCAUCGCAUGGAUCGGUUCUCUAGAUUGAGAUGUCAGGAUUAUGCUUUACAAUUGAACGCCAAUGAACUCUUUCCUUUGGAGUCUGCAAGAGCACACCAAGCCAUUGAAAGGGUAAUCUCGAUCUCCCUCAUUGGUCUACAUUGAUCAGCUCAUUGGCCUGCAUUGAUCAGGUCGAAUCAUCCUUGUAUGAUAAAGGGAUGAUAAAGCCGAUUUCGAUUAGUUUCUGUAUGAUUACAGGAACCCUUUUCUUUUGUAAUAAUUGUAGGAUUCUGCUUUAUAAUUGAACGCCAAUGAACUUUUUUCUUUGGAGACCGCAAGAGUACCAUUUUUGCAUCAAGUCAUUGAAAGGGUAAUCUCAAUCUGCCUCUUUGGUCUACAUUGAUCAGCUCAUUAGCCUAUAUCGAUCAUGUUGUAUCAUCCCUUUAUGAAGGUAAAGAUCAUAACCAGUUUGUUGUGAAGGCUAACUGUAUAAGGACUGUUAAUGUCGAUAAGUCAUGUAAGUGUUCCUUUGUAUAUCAAUGUUGGAUGCAUGUGUCACUCUGUCAUUCCUAGAUAUCAACCAGUUUCCUCUCAACGCCAGGACAGUUCAAUGGCACCAAUUCAUAGGUCUUAAUGAGUAGAAAUACAUAAUCAAGCAAAAUUAGAGAAUUGGGCGGUUAUUAUACCCUUUUUUACUUUUAACUUUGCAUGAGCCUGAACUAACGAGAAUAAAUUCUUUCUGGUUGAAUGAUCAGUUUAUUCUGCCUAUGCUAUAAGGGAGUGUUCUUUUAUAAGGGACAGUGAUAGAUGUACUUUGUGAAAUUCUUUUCAUUUAAGAUAUGUUACGGUGACAUAGGCUAAACAACUGAACCUUUAAAUGUUAAGGGAAGUAAUUGAGGUCUUUGACCAUAGUAGAGGUGCUGCACAUUUAUCUAUAGUAGUAUAUUUGUAUAAGAAGGUUCAUAUCCAGUCUUAGUUAUCUAAUCUGAUUGAAUUCUUUGUAAGCCUAAUCAGGAGGAAGAUACUGGAUGCAAAGUUAGAACGACUACUUCCAAUCCUGCUUGUGCCGGAAGUCUAAAUUGCUUAGAAGAGUAAGAGAAUUAUGAUCAGAUAUAUGAAAUAUGUAUUCUCAUUUAUAACUUUUAAUUCGUAUUCUUUUUCACAUCAGGUGUAUCUCUUGGAUUUUGAGAUAAUUCUUCGAGAGAACUAAUUUUGGACGUGUCUCUAUGCAAAGUUCAUACAAUUUGAUAAAUUCUUAGAGAGAAAAUAUCGAUGCCCAUGAUCUCGUCUUCUUUCUCUAUGCCGAUAUAAUUUUUCAAUAUAUAUCUUUUGCAGAUCUUAUGAUUGGUUAAUAAUCCAGGUUCCAAGUGAACCCUCUUAUAAUCCAGGUUCUAUUAUGCACCUGCAGUCAUUCAAAUUUAUCUAUGAGAAGAUCUUUCUUGCCGUAUUGUUUAUGAUAGCUUCAGUUACUAUUUAGAGUGCUAGAACUGGAAAAUUCCAUCUUCGGCCAAGCUAGAAAAUGGAUGCAAGUGUCGUAAGAACCAAUGCCACAACCAAAAUCAUAGGACAAAGUUGGAUGUUUUGUUACAUGUUCGUGUGAAGAUUGUGAGAGUUCUUUGGUGUAAAAGGUCAGUGUCAUGCACCCUCAAGAUGCCUUCCUACUAAAUCGAAAGA